CUGGCCGACGCGGCUGCCCAGGGGUGGCAGCGGCGUUAGAGAUGCCGUAGAGAUGCCCAGAAAUCUCGCCGUUGCCAAGAUGUUGCACGCACACUUCAAGCACCUCCUCUUCCUGCCACAACUGGGGUUCAGUGGCCUUAGGUCAUCAUCCCUGAGAGAGAGCAAAUGUUGACUGCUAGCCGAAGCCCCAUGGUCGUCAGUCUUGUUGCGCUGCUGGUGCCUCACAGAGUUUCCAAUGCCGACAGUGAUGCAGCGAUGAGGCCGCGUCGCUGAAAUCAGAGUAUAUGACUAAGGUUUGUAGGAUGGAGUAACCAGAAGCAAUGUGGUUCAGGGAGUUGACAGAUUACAGGAUGCCCGAGUUGGCCAGAAGGCGAACAUUAAGGAUCACAAGAGUUGAGAGUGAUAAGGUGAAGAUGUCGCUGUGGACUGAAUGAUGAAAAGGAGGAACAAUUCAGUGGUUUCCUGAAGCUGUGAACAUAUGUUGUUGGCGUUCCUUCCCCCGGACAAUUCCUGGGAGACUGCUGCUCUCAGUCUUCGCCGUUUAUGGUCUGUAGUAGAUGUCCAUCUCUCUAAUCGUCAGUUCAAAAAUUGUGGUUACCAGGUUGUCUUCAGAUCCUAGUCUGAUCACGUGUUGAUGUGUUGCAGUACUGGUUGCAACACAGGAAAACCUUUUAUGUUUUUUUGCCUUUUUCUUUCUGGUUUUAAGAUUAUUUGUUAUGUUUUCAUCUGGUAAUGGUGGUGAGACUUGCAAUGGAA